rnacentral:rRNA from 1 species
UGCCAGACUCCUACGGGAGGCAGCAGUGGGGAAUAUUGCACAGUGGGGGAAACCCUGAUGCAGCGACGCCGCGUGAGUGAAGAAGUAUUUCGGUAUGUAAAGCUCUAUCAGCAGGAACGAGACAAGACGGUACCUGACUAAGAAGCCCCGGCUAACUACGUGCCAGCAGCCGCGGUAAUACGUAGGGGGCAAGCGUUAUCCGGAAUCACUGGGUGUAGAGGGAGCGUAGACGGCUGUGCAAGCCUGAAGUGAAAGGCGGGGGCCCAACCCCUGGACUGCUUUGGGAACUGUACGGCUGGAGUGCAGGAGAGGUAAGUGGAAUUCCUAGUGUAGCGGUGAAAUGCGUAGAUAUUAGGAGGAACACCAGUGGCGAAGGCGGCUUACUGGACUGUAACUGACGUUGAGGCUCGAAAGCGUGGGGAGCAAACAGGAUUAGAUACCCCCGUA